GCGAGAGAGAGAGAGAGAGAGAGAGAGAGAGAGGUUUAAACAGACUGGCGAGAGAGAGAGAGAGAGAGGUUUAAACAGACUGGCGAGAGAGAGAGAGAGGUUUAAACAGACUGGCGAGAGAGAGAGAGAGAGAGAGAGAGAGAGAGA